UAUAUAAAUAGAUCUCACUCAUUGAUCACCCAGUAAGUUCGUUUCUUCACUACACAUAUAUAGCAUAUUAAUAUAUAAGUGAAUCAGUACAAAAACGAACGAUAAUAAUGGAGAAGAAAAUGGCUGGAUUCUGCAUCUUUUUCCUCAUUCUCUUUCUUGCUCAGGAAUAUGGCGUGGAGGGAAAGGAGUGUUUGAACCUAAGUGACAAAUUCAAGGGACCGUGUUUGGGUUCAAAGAACUGCGAUCAUCACUGCAGGGACAUAGAGCACUUGCUCAGCGGAGUUUGCAGGGACGAUUUCCGCUGCUGGUGCAACAGAAAGUGUUAAAACUACUCCAUCAUCAUCAAACCUCUAAAACCAUAUGAUAUAAUAAUAAUAAUAAUAAUAUAUGAAUAAUAAAUGCUUAGCUUGCAUUAUAUUGGAUCCCCACGAUGCGUUAGACGCAUGCACCUAGCUAGUUACUUCACAUAUGCAAGAGCAUGUACUCGAUCUUCGUGCAUAACAGAUAUGAGUUAUGUACUUCUUAUGUAUGUCAAAUAAUAGUAAUAAAUAAGUCUUGUUAUAAGAAUUUAAUUCUGUU